rnacentral:rRNA from 1 species
AUGAACGCUGGCGGCGCGCCUAACACAUGCAAGUCGAACGGCACCCCUCUCCGGAGGGAAGCGAGUGGCGAACGGCUGAGUAACACGUGGAGAACCUGCCCCCUCCCCCGGGAUAGCCGCCCGAAAGGACGGGUAAUACCGGAUACCCCCGGGCGCCGCAUGGCGCCCGGGCUAAAGCCCCGACGGGAGGGGAUGGCUCCGCGGCCCAUCAGGUAGACGGCGGGGUGACGGCCCACCGUGCCGACAACGGGUAGCCGGGUUGAGAGACCGACCGGCCAGAUUGGGACUGAGACACGGCCCAGACUCCUACGGGAGGCAGCAGUGGGGAAUCUUGCGCAAUGGGGGGAACCCUGACGCAGCGACGCCGCGUGCGGGACGGAGGCCUUCGGGUCGUAAACCGCUUUCAGCAGGGAAGAGUCAAGACUGUACCUGCAGAAGAAGCCCCGGCUAACUACGUGCCAGCAGCCGCGGUAAUACGUAGGGGGCGAGCGUUAUCCGGAUUCAUUGGGCGUAAAGCGCGCGUAGGCGGCCCGGCAGGCCGGGGGUCGAAGCGGGGGGCUCAACCCCCCGAAGCCCCCGGAACCUCCGCGGCUUGGGUCCGGUAGGGGAGGGUGGAACACCCGGUGUAGCGGUGGAAUGCGCAGAUAUCGGGUGGAACACCGGUGGCGAAGGCGGCCCUCUGGGCCGAGACCGACGCUGAGGCGCGAAAGCUGGGGGAGCGAACAGGAUUAGAUACCCUGGUAGUCCCAGCCGUAAACGAUGGACGCUAGGUGUGGGGGGACGAUCCCCCCGUGCCGCAGCCAACGCAUUAAGCGUCCCGCCUGGGGAGUACGGCCGCAAGGCUAAAACUCAAAGGAAUUGACGGGGGCCCGCACAAGCAGCGGAGCAUGUGGCUUAAUUCGAAGCAACGCGAAGAACCUUACCAAGUCUUGACAUCCUUCUGACCGGUACUUAACCGUACCUUCUCUUCGGAGCAGGAGUGACAGGUGGUGCAUGGUUGUCGUCAGCUCGUGUCGUGAGAUGUUGGGUUAAGUCCCGCAACGAGCGCAACCCUUAUCCUUUGUUGCCAGCGGUCCGGCCGGGAACUCAAAGGAGACUGCCAGUGAUAAACUGGAGGAAGGUGGGGAUGACGUCAAAUCAUCAUGCCCCUUAUGACCUGGGCUACACACGUACUACAAUGGCCAUUAACAAAGGGAAGCAAGACCGCGAGGUGGAGCAAAACCCCAAAAAUGGUCCCAGUUCGGAUUGCAGGCUGCAACCCGCCUGUAUGAAGUUGGAAUUGCUAGUAAUCGCGGAUCAGCAUGCCGCGGUGAAUGCGUUCCCGGGCCUUGUACACACCGCCCGUCACACCAUGAGAGCCGGGGGGACCCGAAGUCGGUAGUCUAACCGCAAGGAGGACGCCGCCGAAGGUAAAACUGGUGAUUGGGGUG